rnacentral:rRNA from 1 species
GACGAACGCUGGCGGCGUGCUUAACACAUGCAAGUCGAACGGAAAGGCCCUUCGGGGUACUCGAGUGGCGAACGGGUGAGUAACACGUGGGUGAUCUGCCCUGCACUUUGGGAUAAGCCUGGGAAACUGGGUCUAAUACCGAAUAGGAUCAUGCUCUUCAUGGGGUGUGGUGGAAAGCUUUUGCGGUGUGGGAUGGGCCCGCGGCCUAUCAGCUUGUUGGUGGGGUAAUGGCCUACCAAGGCGACGACGGGUAGCCGGCCUGAGAGGGUGACCGGCCACCCUGGGACUGGGAUACGGCCCAGACUCCUACGGGAGGCAGCAGUGGGGAAUAUUGCACAAUGGGCGCAAGCCUGAUGCAGCGACGCCGCGUGAGGGAUGACGGCCUUCGGGUUGUAAACCUCUUUCAGCAGGGACGAAGCGCAAGUGACGGCACCUGCAGAAGAAGGACCGGCCAACUACGUGCCAGCCGCCGCCGUAAUAC